AAAUUGAAGAGUUUGAUCAUGGCUCAGAUUGAACGCUGGCGGCAGGCCUAACACAUGCAAGUCGAACGGUAACAGGAAGCAGCUUGCUGCUUUGCUGACGAGUGGCGGACGGGUGAGUAAUGUCUGGGAAACUGCCUGAUGGAGGGGGAUAACUACUGGAAACGGUGGCUAAUACCGCAUAACGUCGCAAGACCAAAGAGGGGGACCUUCGGGCCUCUUGCCAUCAGAUGUGCCCAGAUGGGAUUAGCUAGUUGGUGAGGUAACGGCUCACCAAGGCGACGAUCCCUAGCUGGUCUGAGAGGAUGACCAGCCACACUGGAACUGAGACACGGUCCAGACUCCUACGGGAGGCAGCAGUGGGGAAUAUUGCACAAUGGGCGCAAGCCUGAUGCAGCCAUGCCGCGUGUAUGAAGAAGGCCUUAGGGUUGUAAAGUACUUUCAGCGGGGAGG
rnacentral:rRNA from 1 species